AAUUCGCCCUUAGAGUUUGAUCAUGGCUCAGAGUGAACGCUGGCGGUAGGCCUAACACAUGCAAGUCGAACGGCAGCACAGUAAGAGCUUGCUCUUAUGGGUGGCGAGUGGCGGACGGGUGAGGAAUACAUCGGAAUCUACUCUGUCGUGGGGGAUAACGUAGGGAAACUUACGCUAAUACCGCAUACGACCUACGGGUGAAAGCAGGGGAUCUUCGGACCUUGCGCGAUUGAAUGAGCCGAUGUCGGAUUAGCUAGUUGGCGGGGUAAAGGCCCACCAAGGCGACGAUCCGUAGCUGGUCUGAGAGGAUGAUCAGCCACACUGGAACUGAGACACGGUCCAGACUCCUACGGGAGGCAGCAGUGGGGAAUAUUGGACAAUGGGCGCAAGCCUGAUCCAGCCAUACCGCGUGGGUGAAGAAGGCCUUCGGGUUGUAAAGCCCUUUUGUUGGGAAAGAAAUCCAGCCGGCUAA
rnacentral:rRNA from 1 species